UAAGGGAAAUGCUUGCGGCCGGUCGACCGGCUAACGACUCGGCCGGUCGCACGCGCGCCGUCUGAUUGUUUUUCAUCAUGUGACUCACAUCCCACGCUGACUUAUCCUCACGCACGUCAGCACCUUAUCCACUCACGCGAACCUUCUCAGCGCUUCCCAGCCAUUCUUUCUUUCCCGAGCAUCCAUCUCAUCCUCAAAUCGCAUCUCCGGCAGCAGCACCGUCGAGGGCCACCACCUCUGCGCGCCCCGCGCACUCGGAGCUUCUCAGCCGCUUCCCAUCCAUUUUAUGCCGCCGUCGGCUUUCUCCGGCGAACUCAUCCCCUUCUCUCCUUACAAGUCAUGCCCAACCCACUAUUCCACUCCUCCGUGUCAGCAGUGGAGGGGGUUGGUUGCCCAAAGCGACUGGAGACAGGGGGCUGUGCAUGCACGCGAUGGGCGGCGAGCUCUCCAGAUUUUUGCUGGAUGCCGGCGGUGCUAGGUGAUGACGGCGGCGAGCCGGAGCCGAGGACGCAAGGAUGUUGCAACCAUGGCGACCACACGCUGGAACCGGCUGUCGUCAAAGCUGCAUCCAUUGUGACCACACCCUGUGACCCAUCGGCGGUCGUGCUGCAAUCCCUGUGGCCACGAGUGGGGGACAUCGCCGGUGCUCGUCGGCCACGGCCCUGGCCCCAGCCCCGACGGCAGGGCAAAUACUAGUUUUGAGAUUUGGAAGCGGCAAGCCGGGGACGGCACUGGUCUCUCUCCCCCUUCUUUUUUCCUCUCUGCUUUUGUUUUUCCUAUGAGGUGGUCGAAAAAACCGCAUCGGACAGUUUAAAAUAGUCUAAUCGUGUGGUGGUGCGUCGACCGGCCCAAAUUUGGGCCGACGUGCCGGCGCCUAUCAUCGCCCAUAAUGGCGUGUUCUCAUACUUUAA